AGGACGACGCUGGCGGCGUGCCUAACACAUGCAAGUCGAGCGGGGACUUGGGAGCUUGCUCCUGGGUUCUAGCGGCGGACGGGUGAGUAACGCGUGAGCAACCUGCCUCUUACUGGGGGAUAACGCAUCGAAAGAUGUGCUAAUACCGCGUAAGACCACGGAGUCGCAUGGCUCAGGGGUCAAAGGAGCAAUCCGGUAAGAGAUGGGCUCGCGUCCGAUUAGCUAGUUGGUGAGAUAACGGCCCACCAAGGCGACGAUGCGUAGCCGACCUGAGAGGGUGAUCGGCCACAUUGGGACUGAGACACGGCCCAGACUCCUACGGGAGGCAGCAGUGGGGAAUAUUGCACAAUGGGGGAAACCCUGAUGCAGCAAUGCCGCGUGAGUGAUGACGGCCUUCGGGUUGUAAAGCUCUGUCUUCAGGGACGAUAAUGACGGUACCUGAGGAGGAAGCCACGGCUAACUACGUG
rnacentral:rRNA from 1 species